rnacentral:rRNA from 1 species
GACGAACGCUGGCGGCGUGCCUAAUACAUGCAAGUCGAACGCUGAAGUCGGAGCUUGCUUCUCUGGAUGAGUUGCGAACGGGUGAGUAACGCGUAGGUAACCUGCCUGGUAGCGGGGGAUAACUAUUGGAAACGUUAGCUAAUACCGCAUAAUAGUAGAUGUUUCAUGACCUUUGCGUAAAAGGUUCAAUUGCAUCACUACCAGAUGGACCUGCGUUGUAUUAGCUAGAUGGUGGGGUAACGGCUCACCAAGGCGAGGAUACAUAGCCGACCUGAGAGGGUGAGAGGAGAAGCUGGGACUGGGACACGGCCCAGAACACUACGGGAGGCAGCAGUAGGGAAUCCCCGGGGAUGGACGGAAGGCUGAACGAGGAACGACGCGUGAGAGAAGGAGGUUUUCGGGUCGUGUAGAUGUGUAGUAAGAGAGGAAUGUGAGUGAGUGUGGCAAGUGCACACUGUGACGGUACCUGAAGAGAAAGGGACGGCUAACUACGUG